GAUUCAGGCCCACAUACCCGUACGCAUUUGCCUCCUCAACUCGAACCCUCGCCUUUGCCCUUGCCGAGCCCUCGCCGCCGCCACACCUCAGCCCCCUCGCCGCCACGGCAGCACCUCAGCCCGCUCGCCGCCGCGUUCGCGCGUCAGCCCGCUGGACAUCCCCACCUCCGUGGUCGCACCUCUACCCGCUCGCUGCCCCCAUUGCAACCCAACGCCCCCUCCAAUGGAUGCCGCCCGAACUACCUCAUCCAAUAGGACGCCGGCCGCGGCGUCACGAAGUUGCUGGCGUCGCCCAGUUCGCCGUGGGUGAAGGCGCCUCAGACGCAAGCGAAGCUGGAGCUUCCUCAACGUAUGCCUCACCAUGGGGCUCGCUGUGCUGCUGGCGGACAGCCGCGGCCCUGCUGGUGUGGUGCGAGACUUCCAGAUCACCCGACGGCUGGGGUUGGAGGAUGGCAUUCCCACAACUCCUCAUCGGGGGUGAGCGUGGCAUGGAGCAGCAAGCCCAUAGCUCCCUCAACCAUCAUGCUAAUCUCUUCUUGUUAUUGAUCCUGAAUCUAUGGUGCACAUACAGUACAUGCUUAUGUAUUGUCUCAAUGAUUAUCCUAUUUUUUUAGGAUUCAACUUGCGUUUUGUGCAAUUUCAUACACUCAAUCAAUAAAUUCUCAGUUUUUUGGCGGGAUUUGUGUUUGUUCGGAUGCUUAGGUGCAGCUGCAUCAAGGGAAUUGGCCGACGGCGUGCAAUACAUAGACAAAGUAAAAGUCAGUAUGGAGCAAAUACGAGUUCGGUUGCUCUUCUGACAAUUUCACUUUGAUUUUGUUGUUAGUGACUGAUUGAGGCGUCACUCCCACCACGGUGGUGACGGCAACCUUGCCCCUCCAGCCGCUGUGGCCGUAGCGUACCGCUCCAAUGCCAUCUGACACAACCGCCUUGUGGUGGAGGAGGGCCACCUCGAACACAUUGGGAAGGGGUGAGCGUGGGCUUCGCCACAUGUUCUGCCGAGUCAUCGAUGUCAGUUUCUAGGUUUGUGAGUGCAUUGUCUGGUGCUUCUUUUUACGAUGUCUGUCAACACAAGCACAACGUGUUCCAAGUAUGAACUGAGAGAGUGUGCUCCCAUUGGGUUCUGCAUGUGGACACUGUGGCCGGUGAGGCAUAACUGGAAGUUUCUCUGAUGGUCGACAACAAGGAUCACUGCACAACAGGCUUUCGAGCAGGCUCUGAUUCACGGAGAACUCCCCAGCAACCUCAUCUUUUGUGGAUAUUAGAUGGAUAUUGAAUCCAGUAAGCCUCCAAUUGAUAAACAAAGUCAAUUUUCUGUUGGUAGUUUGCAUGACAGGGUUCUAGCUAAUUUAUGAUUGUGCCUACAACAGACUACCUCUGCCUGAAGAUUUGAGGUGUGACUCAAAUUUCGUGCUGUUAGAAAUCAACAAUGGAGAUUUCAGUUUUUUUCAUGUAUAUUCGUACGGAUUUCAAGUUUAAUGAAUCAUUAAAUUUUAUUCUAUAAUCAGAUCUUGGCAUGUUUUCAGAUUUUUCAGAGAAGAAAGAAGUCCAGAGGCGUGGAUGUAUGUUUUUAGGGGGGAAUCAAGUCUGCAGAAUAUACACUAAUUUGAGGAAUUCAGAUGUUACCCAUGGUCAUACAGGGAAAGUGUGAAGCACUCUGGCCAAUUUUCCGCAUUUCUCAUCCAAGAAGCCGUUACAUUUAUGAUCUUUUCUAUAGAAGAAGGAAGGAUAUAUCUAAGGAGCUGUAUGAAUUUUGCCUGGACUAGGAUUAUGCAGACCGUAAUCUCAUUACAAAGUGGAAAAAUGUUGCCUCAGCUUUGUAUCAUUUGAGCUAGGGGCCAAGACGGAUGAGGUUGAUUUGGCUUGAUCAUGCCAAAGAAAUUUACUUCUUUUUUGGAAAAUGAAAGAAUGUUUUAGAAGUUCAGGGUUAAGUUACCAAAUCUGAGCUUUAUAGCAAAGCAGAUGAUCAAGAAAAGCAGAGUAGGAUAAUAAAGGUUCACAUAGAUGUAGUAAUAUGUUACUAUCAGCUAGCUCAAGUAUGUAUGACUGUAGGAGCUCAGGAAUACUCUUAUUGUGUCUUUGAUUUUGUUAAAGACCCAAUAUAUGAUGA